AACGAACGCUGGCGGCAGGCUUAACACAUGCAAGUCGAACGCACCGCAAGGUGAGUGGCAGACGGGUGAGUAACGCGUGGGAAUCUACCUAGCUCUUCGGAAUAGCUCCGGGAAACUGGAAUUAAUACCGAGUACGCCCUACGGGGGAAAGAUUUAUCGGGGUUAGAUGAGCCCGCGUUGGAUUAGCUAGUUGGUGGGGUAAUGGCCUACCAAGGCGACGAUCCAUAGCUGGUCUGAGAGGAUGAUCAGCCACACUGGGACUGGGACACGGCCCAGACUCCUACGGGAGGCAGCAGUGGGGAAUAUUGGACGAUGGGCGAAAGCUUGAUCCAGCCAUGCCGCGUGAGUGAUGAAGGCCCUAGGGUUGUAAAGCUCUUUCAGUAGGGAAGAUAAUGACGGUACCUACAGAAGAAGCCCCGGCUAACUUCGUGCCAGCAGCCGCCGUAAGAC
rnacentral:rRNA from 1 species